rnacentral:tRNA from 1 species
UUCGCAGUAGCUCAGUGGUAGAGCUAUCGGCUGUUAACCGAUCGGUCGCAGGUUCGAGUCCUGCCUGCGGAGCCA